GGGCAGCUGGAGCCUAUGCCCGCUGCCAGGGCGAGAGGCGGGGUGCACCUUGGACAGGUCACAAGUCACAAGUCUGUCACAAGUCUAUGACAGGGCUGAGAGAGCCCUGGUCCAUGUGAACCAUUCACACUCACAUUCACACCUAUGGCCACCUAUUGACUUUUUUAUUAUCUUAAAAUUUAGUCUUCUUCUUUCCUAGUGGCUAUUAGUUCACACAAACACAGGGACGAGAACACAUGCUGAACGAGAAGCAGCAAAAGAGGUGUGCAGAUUUUGUAACAGAUGAUGUAAAACAUCACACACAAAGAUAUUUUGCUGUUAAACUGUGGGUUAUUUGUUGAAUUGAAUGUUGAUGAAGAUUGAUGAAAUUUCUGACUUUGUGAUGCUUAAUCUUGAAGACUGUGAGAAAUGCUCUCCAGGCUAAACCAGUUUAUUUUGGAUGAAUACGAUAAACUGAGAACAUUGACGGAUAGCACAAGAAGACGUUCGGUAAACCUUCUUGUGGCCAACAUGGUUGAAAUUCAUGGGUGAGAGUCAAUAUUCAGAUUUAUACUUUUAAAAUGUAAACUGUUCAGCACAACUCUGCAGCUCCUCCACCAGCACAGCCUACCAAGAUAGUCCAAAGAGAAAGAGAGAGGUUCCCUGCACUGAUAAGCAGCUGCUUGGUGAGGAGUGUCAUGAAGCGAUAUCCUUUUUGAAACAUUCAACUGAUGAAUCAGCAGUCAAAGAGAAGAUGAGGGCCACGUUUCAGUAUCAUCAAACACUGGUUCAAGAUCAACAGUGCUCUUCAACAGUCUUGGAUGUCUUCCCACAGUUCCUUAACAUCACUGGCUUGAUUGACCAAGACUUCGGUGUCGGGCAGAUCUUUGGCAAAAUGUCCUACUUUUUUCAAACCUGGGAUCCUGACAGAGUGCAGAAAACUGAUUUCUAAUGAACACAUUGAAGAGCUCUUGUCUGCGAAGCACGACACAGGCUGGAACAGUGACCUGUCAAGCUUUCUACUGUUGCUUCACUUGCUUCCACCUACCUCCAAAGGCCACAAGAAGAGUGCCAAAAUCUGGAAUCUGCUGCUCCUCUUUGAUACAGAUUGGGAAUAUUGUUGUUUCACCCACUGGAACUAAUAGUCUGACUUACUAUUUGAAGCACUUGAUUAAAGACCACCGCAAGCUAUUUAGAUCUUUGUUUUGACAGAAAAGAUUGAUUUCAAAGCAUAAUUUCAUGCUACAUUAUCCACUUUAUAUUAAAAAAAAUAGGUCCACUCCUUCAUGUAUGAGAUUUGAGGCUAAACAUAAUUUUUUUUUAAAAGAUCAGUGAAAAAUUUCAAAAUUAUCACAAAAGCACUGGUUAACCAACACCAGAGACAGCUUGCUUACCACUGGGAGGAUUUUGAUUUUCAGAGAUUUGAGUGUGGUCCAGUGAAGACAGAAAUUAUUAAGAGCUUGGACGGAGGUGAGGUGUUAAGUUCUGCUUUUAGUGUAAGCACAUACUGUGCCAACCACUAAUUGGGUGAAAAACUAUGGAACCAAAUAUCAGAUUGGUAUGUUUGUUUGUACUGGAACAAAAACAGAAAUUCCUAUUUUCAGAAAAGUCACCAACAUCAUUGUACAUGAUGAGCAAGCUUUCAUUUUGACUUGCAGGGUGGACACUCUUUAUUUUGAUGAUCAUUUCAAUGCAUACUGUAUCAACAAGAGAGCAGAUUCAUUUUCUGUUUUUCCAGUUAAGCCCUUGGUUUAUUACAGACCCGAUGACAAGCACUUUUCUAAUGAAAUGUGUGAAAAAACAUAGAUUGUGCCACAUUGCCAUAUUGUGUGACUUCUGUUGUAGCUAUUGCAAAGCCACUGUUGUUCUAUGUGGUGUGCUUGUU